UUUGGUGGCGAUGGCGGAGGGGUUCCACGCGUACCCAUCCCGAACACGACCGUUAAGCCCUCCAGCGCCGAUGGUACUUGGACCGAAGGGUCCUGGGAGAGUAGGACGCUGCCAAGC
rfam:Paenibacillus stellifer strain DSM 14472, complete genome.